ensembl:lncRNA
CAGGAUGGAGCCGUCUGUCACCUGCAGCUACGCUGUACUUGAGAUCACCAGCCAAACCCCCCACAACCUGCUGCAGGCGAUGGUGGACCACAUGGAGCAGACGUUUAAAUACGCAGCCUGGGAGAUGUCCAGCCUGGACUUGGACGAAGAGGAGGAGGACGCCAAGGUGCUGGCCAAGCUGGGCAAAGAGGAAGAGGAAGGAGAUGAUGAAGAGGCGCAGGAGGCAGAGGAGGGAAGCAGCACUAACAGAUGGUUUGGGGACACUCAGCUUUUCUGCCCAGUGGUGCUGAGAGAGAGGGGAAUUCUGGCUCCCUGCACCCAUGACUUUACAGCCAAGUACAGGGAGAG